UUUUGUUUUUUUGUUUUUUUUUUUGUUGCAGAAAUUAGCGGACCUCUCAGCCUCUCUGAAUCCCAGAUUGAUUGAUGGAAUACUGCUCACUAAGUUCGACACCAUUGAUGAUAAGGUUGGAGCGGCACUGUCGAUGGUUUACAUAUCAGGAGCGCCUGUCAUGUCUGUUGGGUGUGGACAGUCGUAUACCGACCUCAAGAAGCUCAAUGUCAAGUCCAUUGUCAAGACACUCCUUAAGUGAGAGUAUUGAGUGCCGGUCUCGCCGCCUUUCAGUUACUUCUGCAUGCCAUCUUUUAGUCUAUUUUGAACCUGUGUGUCUACGCUACAAUCUAUGUACUGUUCCCAUGUGAUCUCAUUACUUUGAUUUUGGAGGUGAAUUAUUAGUUGCUUGUUGCGGUAACUUCUCAGACUUGUUUCAUUUGUUGAUCUCUCUCUCUCUGUCUCUGCAAAAUAGCAGCUAUGGUAGAUGAAUUUGAUCCCGGCUAAUAUGGAAAAUGAGAAAAAGAAGGAAAAAAAAAAUAAAGCGAAAGAUUGAGUAGUAGGAUGUUCAAA